rnacentral:lncRNA from 1 species
GACUUUAUAAAAGCUAUCAUCUUCCCCAAAUGCAACCAUAAUAAAAUCUUGGCUUGCUCCCCUGUUAUAAUUAAACAUCAAUUCGGUCACCGUAACUUCAAUUUGUUCCUAACUUCAAUUUCGUUGACACCUGCACAGUAUUUUUGUAGUGGAAUUCCUUGUAUUGCGACUUGUGCGUGUUCUCUGAUAAAUACUCCAAUACAGAGCAAUAGAGCCUUCGCUUGUAAUAUGUUAUCUUUUACUCAUAGAAAAGAGCGUGUUCCCUCAUGUAUAAUGGUUGUUUAAGAGGAAAUGUGAUUAUUAUUUAAAUUUGUAUGUAUUCAACCACCAUUCGAGUAACAAAAACAAUUUGACACCAAAUAAUUCAACCCGUCACCAAAUCAAAACCCCACCCUUCACCCCUCUCACCAAAUCAGAUUUAGCUAUAAACAAAGUCGUUGAUUACCUGGUGUCCAACGAUUAAGGAGAAGUGAACGGCUGCUACGGGUCGCCAAAGAGAACUCCAAAGCCUCGUGUUAAGUUUGGCCCUAAUUCCAGUUCUAGUGAUGAAGAACUUACUCGCAUCAGGAGGUAGUGGGGCUGUGGUGGCUGGAUUUAGUUGUGGUGGGUUUGCGACGGCUGGAUCCGGUGCUGGUGGGGCUCGAUUUAGUG